rnacentral:rRNA from 1 species
GACGACCGUUGGCGGUGCGCUUAACACAUGCAAGUCGAAGGGAAAGCCUCUGCUUUUGUGGGUUGCUCGAGUCGCGAAUGGCUGAGUAACAGGUGAGUAACCUGCCCUUGACUCUGGCUUAACUUUAGGUAACUGGGGCCAGUACCGGAUUGGUGCCCCUGCGGCAGGUUGGGGGGUGGAAAGUUGCGGCGGUAGGGGAUGGUGUCGCGGCUUCCCAGCUUGUUGGUGGGGUAGUGGCGUACCAAGGCUUUGACGGGUAGCCGGCCUGAGAGGGUGACCGGCCACAUUAGGACUGAGAUGCGGCCCAGACUCCUACGGGAGGCAGCAGUGGGGAAUAUUGCACAAUGGGCGGAAGCCUGUUGCAGCAACGCCGCGUGCGGGAUGACGGCCUUCGGGUUGUAAACCGCUUUCGCCUGUGACGAAGCGUGAGUGACGGUAAUGGGUAAAGAAGCACCGGCUAACUACGUG